CCCAUCAGAAGAUGAUAUUGAUAAGAGAGCUGAAAUGUUCAUAGAAAAAUUUCGCCGGCAACUUCAGAUUGAGAGGCAGAUUUCUUUGGAGCUCAAGUAUUUGCAGGGAAAUAGUAGCUUCAAAUUGAGAUCUCCAUGAAGAGACUGAUUGAAGUUUCUGGUGAUGGAGCCUAUGUUUUAUGAGAGGAUUUUCUAUUGCCGAUUUGUAAUUACAAUUAAUGGUUCUGCCUUUUUCUGCUGGGACUUGGAUUCACUGCUAAGAAAUGAAGCAUGGAAGAAAGAUGGAAUUACAGGGUUUUAUGCUUUUGCCA
rnacentral:misc_RNA from 1 species